rnacentral:rRNA from 1 species
GAUGAACGCUGGCGGCGUGCCUAAUACAUGCAAGUCGAGCGAACGGACGAGAAGCUUGCUUCUCUGAUGUUAGCGGCGGACGGGUGAGUAACACGUGGAUAACCUACCUAUAAGACUGGGAUAACUUCGGGAAACCGUAGCUAAUACCGGAUAAUAUUUUGAACCGCAUGGUUCAAAAGUGAAAGACGGUCUUGCUGUCACUUAUAGAUGGAUCCGCGCUGCAUUAGCUAGUUGGUAAGGUAACGGCUUACCAAGGCAACGAUGCAUAGCCGACCUGAGAGGGUGAUCGGCCACACUGGAACUGAGACACGGUCCAGACUCCUACGGGAGGCAGCAGUAGGGAAUCUUCCGCAAAGGGCGAAAGCCUGACGGAGCAACGCCGCGUGAGUGAUGAAGGUCUUCGGAUCGUAAAACUCUGCUAUUAGGGAAGAACAUAUGUGUAAGUAACUGUGCACAUCUUGACGGUACCUAAUCAGAAAGCCACGGCUAACUACGUG